UUGCGACCAUAUCACGUUGAAACAUCGGUUCCUGUACGAUCACCAAAGUUAAGCAACAUCGAGAAUAAUCAGUACCUAGAUUGGUGACCGAUUGUGAAUAUCAGAUGCUGUAA